rnacentral:rRNA from 1 species
UACAGAGGUGGCAAGCGUUGUUCGGAAUUACUGGGCGUAAAGGGCGCGUAGGCGGCCUACUAAGUCAGACGUGAAAUCCCCCGGCUUAACCUGGGAACUGCGUCUGAUACUGGAAGGCUUGAGUAUGGGAGAGGGGAUGUAGAAUUCCAGGUGUAGCGGUGAAAUGCGUAGAUAUCUGGAGGAAUACCGGUGGCGAAGGCGGCAUCCUGGACCAUUACUGACGCUGAGGCGCGAAAGCUAGGGGAGCAAACGGGG